CUACGGGUUGCUCCAGUGGGGAAUAUUGCACAAUGGAGGAAACUCUGAUGCAGCAACGCCGCGUGGAGGAUGACACUUUUCGGAGCGUAAACUCCUUUUAUAUAGGAAGAAGAUGACGGUACUAUAUGAAUAAGCGCCGGCGUAACUCCGUGCCAGCAGCCGCGGUAAUACGGAGGGCGCAAGCGUUACUCGGAAUCACUGGGCGUAAAGAGCGUGUAGGCGGAUUAAAAAGUCAGAAGUGAAAUCCUAUAGCUUAACUAUAGAACUGCUUCUGAAACUCUUAAUCUAGAAUAUGGGAGAGGUAGAUGGAAUUUCUGGUGUAGGGGUAAAAUCCGUAGAGAUCAGAAGGAAUACCGAUUGCGAAGGCGAUCUACUAGAACAUUAUUGACGCUGAGACGGGAAAGCGUGGGGAGCAAACAGGAUUAGAUACCCGGGUAGUC
rnacentral:rRNA from 1 species